rnacentral:rRNA from 1 species
UACGUAGGUGGCAAGCGUUGUCCGGAUUUACUGGGCGUAAAGAGCGCGCAGGCGGUCGUUCAAGUCGCGUGUGAAAGCCCCCGGCUCAACUGGGGAGGGUCACGCGAUACUGAUCGACUCGAAGGCAGGAGAGGGAAGUGGAAUUCCCGGUGUAGUGGUGAAAUACGUAGAGAUUGGGAGGAACACCAGUGGCGAAAGCGACUUUCGUGGGCCAUUCCUGACGCUGAGGUUCGAAAGCUCGGGGGAGCAAACAGG